AUACUCCUUGGUGAAGAGGCUCAUGUGGAACCUUGGUUCUGUCUGUUUGAAGAUAGUUCCAAUCUUGAUGCAAGAUGGGUGCACGGUUUGCAUGGAACAUACCAUAUGCUCAGAAAUCAAUUUGGACACACCCGAUGGAACUGUAGAUGCACCCGAUGGAACUACUAGAUGAAGUUUAUCAUAUGGAAUCUCGCUUCCGUCCAGUUGGAGAUAGUAUUAGUUUCGGUGCAAGAUAGUUGCACGGUUUGUGCCCAGUGCACCAUAGGCUCAGAAAUCGUUGUGGAAGUUCCUGAUGGUACUCCUAGGUGAAGAGGCUCAAGUGAAAGCCCGGUUCGGUUGUUUGGAGAUAGUGCUAAUCUUGAUGAAAGAUAGGUGUACGGUUUGCAUAGAACGUACCAUAUUCUCAUAAAUCAAUUUGGACGCACUCGGUAGAACUCCUAGAUCAUGUGUGUCAUUUGGAAUCUCGCUUCAAUCUGUUUGGAGACAUUGUUAGUUUAGGUGGAAGAUUGGUGCAUCGUUUGCGCAUAAUGCACCAUAGGCUCAGAAACCAUUAUGGAAGCACCCGAUGAUAAUCCUAGGUGAAGAGGCUCAAGUGGAAGGUCAGUUCGAUCUGUCUGGAGAUAGUGCUAAUCUUGAUGCAAGAUAGGUGCACGGUUUGCAUGGAACAUACCAUAUGCUAAGAUCCAUUUGGACGCACCCAAUAGAACUCCUAGAUGACAUGUGUCAUACAGAAUCUCGCUUAGGUCUGUUUGGAGACAGAGGUAGUUUUGGUGCAAGAUAGGUACACAGUUUGCGCCUAAUGCAUCAUAGGCUAAGAAACCAUUUUGGAUGCACCCGAUGAUACUCCUGGGUAAAGGGGCUCAAGUUAAAGCUCAGUUUGCUUUGUUUGGAGAUAGUGCUAUUCUAGAUGCAAGAUUGGUGCACGAAUUGCAUCGAACGUACCAUAUGCUUAGAAAUAUAUUUGGAAGCACCCAAUAGAACUCCUAGAUGACAUGUGUCAUAUCGAAUCUCACUUCGGUCUCUUUCGAGAUAGUGUUAGUUUCGGUGCAAGAUAGGUACACGGUUUGUGCCUCAUGCACUAUAGGCUAAGAAACUAUUUUGGAUGCACGCGAUGGUACUCCUUGGUGAAGAGGCUCAUGUGGAAUCUUGGUUCUGUCUGUUUGGAGAUAGUUCUAAUCUUGAUGCAAGAUAGGUGCACGGUUUGCAUGGAACAUACCAUAUGCUCAGAAAUCAAUUUGGACACACCCGAUGAAACCGUAGAUGCACCCGAUGGAACUACUAGAUGAAGUGUAUCAUAUGGAAUCUCGCUUCAGUCUAGUUGGAGAUAGUAUUAGUUUCGGUGCAAGAUAGUUGCAUGGUUUGUGCCCAGUGCACCAUAGGCUC
rnacentral:lncRNA from 1 species